GCUCAGACACACGUAGGCUGCCAGAGCAUGCCGUGGGGCAGCGCCAAAGUAUGCAAAGGAAAAAUGCUAUUAGCUCAUCAGCGUUGGAGAGACUAGAAACGGGGUGGCGGGGAGGGGGAAGGGGCCGCUGGCGAGAGAGGAAACAUGUUUCUGGAAAAUGUGCUGGCCGGCACAUCUCCCGGGCUGGAGCAGCUGCUGGUGACCAUCUCAGCUCUGAGUAACAGUCGGAUCCCCUUAACGACCUCUUAAUUGGGAGAAAACCUCCAUCAAAUAAACUCUUAACUAUUGACUUUUGGGUUUUGUGCAUAUGAGUCACACGAGAAAUAUAUUGGCGAUGCUUCUCCCGGAGUAAGUUUUCAUUGAAAAGUGAAAUUUCACAUGGGAGAGGCUUAGCCCCAUCACCAGAACAAAUAAACCUGGUUUGGGUAGUGUCUCCCCAAAACUGUGCUGGGGACGAGGAGCAGGCUGUGGCCCAAAAGUCUCUCCCUUCCUUCCUGCUUUUACAAGAGUUCAUCAAGGCUGUGUUUUGAAAAGUACAAUCACCCAGUAAGGCAAAUGAAUUAAGGUCCAUGGAUUUCAGCCAAAACUUCUUUUGGGUGUAUUUUUCCAAAGGCUGUUUGCUUAUGAAUCCUUGCAAAGGAAUUGAGGGGAAUACACAGAAGUUCUCUCUCACUGAAAGUUUGGUGGUGAGAAUAUUGAAGUGAAUCUUGUCAGUAAUGAUCAGCCUGGGCUGGAGGUUUUCACCUUACUCAGGUAGAUUCAAAGCACCCUUGGACCACUGUCAGGUCCACUUGUUCCUGGUGAGGUGGAUAUUGUGACUGGAUUUUGAUGUUUUAAAUACAGUCCUCCAGUCAUUAGUCGUGCUGUAGUUUAUUUUAAUUGCAUAUUACUUUAAAUGGUGCACACCUAGUAAUAGAAAACUAGCAACAUGUGGUCCCACUUGGUGGCUAGGAUAGAUGGUGAAUGCUGAUUUACACUGCUAUAGGAUUUUUAGUUGCAGUGCUCACCUUUAAAGUACUUUCACCACCCUGCAAUCUGCAGUGCCACCCUGCAUGUGUCAAAGGUCCCCCAGUGGGCAGGGGGUCAUUGGCUCUGACCAUGCUGCUCACCACGCCAGGCUUGCGUGAAUUGUAAAAAUUGUAAAAAAUGGUCAGUCUGGAGAACACUGAGGAGUACAGGGUGCUUGUGCUCCAGAGACCGCAAAGCUCUCUUACUUGAGAACAUAUCCAAUCACCAAGUGGGUGCUUGUUACGAUUGCUAGCCAGCACCAGGAUGGAGGGGGGCAUCUGCUGGACUGGGCCCACAGCCAGAACAGUAACUGAUGCCUUUCCACAAGCGGGCUGUGUGUGCUAGUUUGGGCAGUCUGCUGCAGAGGUGGUUUGGUCUGGGUUCUUUUAUUCAUCGUAUUUGCAGGCUGCUCAUCCCCCAUGAUCUUUCUCAUUGUGGCUUUGAAAAUAUUAUUCUCCAUUUAAACGUUUGCCUGGAACAAUCAGUGAUUAAGGCUGAGUAAAGCGGAAAGGUUGAAGAUAGGGAAAAUGCAACACUGAAGGAAUGAGGUUUCUGUCUUUUUACUCUUCCUCUAAACCUUACUAAUGUUACAAACAGCAGGUUGUUGCCCAAUGUGUGAUAUUAGACAAUGUUUCCACAGAGUGGGAUUCCAGCCAUUUUUUUCUUAUGUCUGAUUAAGUUACUAUUUUUCAUGAAACUGAAGAAAGCAUAUUUGAGGCCAGUAUUCUCACCCAUCUAUCAGCCAUUCACACUGUCUGCCAUUAUUUCCAUAGCAGAAGUUUCAUUUGUUAAUUAAUUUAGUGUUCAUAAUGCCUGAAAAGCAUUAUUAGCAUCCCUGGAGGGUCAUGUCCUUCCCUUAGCAUUAUGUGCCUGUAUCCAUUUGUACUUUCCUUUCCCCACAGGUUACCUAAUUACACCAGGUUUUUGCAUCAUGGGUCUGAAAAGACCAUCAGAAAGCUCUGCAACCUGAAGUGUGGAGGAUCUGCCAGCUUGAUCAGAAAAAGCAGCUACAGAACCUGAGACAGCUGUUGCCCUUUUCUUGUAUAGUGAGGGCUGAAGACAAAGCCUUCUGAUACCAGUGGAUUUUUUUUUUUUUCUGUCAAAUCAGUGGUUUACAAUGAGGUCUUAAUAGCAGUAUUUCUUAAGCCUAUUUAUGUGUUGCUAAAGCUGAACAUGCGUGAUUUCACAGGAUGCAGUUAUGUGGUUUCUUUCUUGAAUGUAGAUUUCAAAAGAGCAUAGUGAAUAUUAAACAAAAAGCCGUUCACUUCUUGAAUUUAUAAUGUGUUCCAUCUCUGUAUAUUUUUUCUAAUUUUCCUAUUUUUUUUCUGUCUUCCACGUUUUCUAUAAAAGCGAGAUUUCAAAAAAUGUGAGAUAAAUAGACAAAUAUGCACUUCCUGCAAAUUUGGUCAAAGAUUCGAAAAUCCACCAAAGCUUAUUCUUUUCUUAUAAGUAAGCAUCUGUAAUGAAAGCUUCCCUAGCUAUUUUCUAUGUAGUAUUCAUUGCAGUGGUAUGCAGGUUGUCUGAUGACGCAUUCAAAGGAACAGAAAUCCAAGACACUCAGACUGAAGAGCCCAUUAUCUGUGCAUUAACACCUGUGAGAUGUACUAGAGUUAGCUUCAUUUAGCAAGGUCAAUAAAAUUCAGAUUAGAUAAAAUUCAGAUUAGAUUAGUACAGUGCAUGGGUAAACAGUGCCCUAUUACUUAGGAAGUUCAGUCCUGCAUUGUCUCCACAAGCUGAACACGUACUGAAGGACUGCCUUCCAUCUCAGCCACAAACACCUGAUUUUAUUGAAACUUAUGAAUCCUUAGGAGAGGUUACUGUGGGAAACACAAGCUGGGCUGAACAGUUCGAUACACAGGCACAUCUUUGUUGUGGCAGUGCUCCAAAACGAGUCUUCCCUUCUGCAUAUUUUGCACAAAAGCAUGAGAACCCCUCUAGUGAAUCCAAACUGAGGAAGGCUUGAGAGAAUAAUUAGUUUUGAAUCGAGACAUUCACGAGAUUGAGAUUAUGAACAUCCUAUAGGAAGGGAGAGAACUGGAUACCUUUCCAAAUCAGCCAUUUUCCUUCCAUCUUCAGCAGGGGAGGAGUCCCUGCUGAUCAUUCACAAAGAGGAACACUGCCCAACAUAAUGAAAGAACAGAACACGUCAGCAGAAAUUUUGGAACAUGAUUUUCCUAUGCAUCUCAUCAAAUACUCUCCCAAAACUUGGAUCAGAUGGUUUUUUAAUAGCAUCUUUGUCUUCAUCCCUGAGAUUGAGUGGCCAUCACAGGGACUGUAGCGUUACUUGUGGAAUUUCAAUGCCUGAUGGAAAAAUGCCAGAGAAAAUGCCAGUUUCAAAUCCCAAGGUGAAUUUUUGUAACUGAUAUUAGAAAAAAACCUGAUCUUAUACUUACAAGGCUCAAUUAAAACAGUGACCAGUAUUGCCAUUCAUAAUGCGAAUGUAUAAAAACUGAUGAUGACAAAUAAAGAACUGCCAGAAGAA